UUGAACUACGAACUUGAAGUAGAACUUGAGUGUUAACAAAUUCACAAUGUGUUUAGAAUCAGGAGAUUCUACUACUUCCUUUGAGGGUGGAUUAUUAAACUCUCUUAAAUCUAGGUUGUUCUGCAUUUCAGGACAAAAGAUGCUGCAUGCUUCUGCCAAGGGCCCUGGCAUGAAUCAUGUUCUCUUUUGUUUUUUUAUCCUGUUUCAGAACAGCUUCGAUUUUAAACUGUUAAAUUUCUGCAUUACCGCUAUUGUAGCGUUUCAUUUUUCCUCACUGUAAUAACGAAAUCAGGACAUUUCAUUUUUUGUUAGAGGUGGGCGUGUGAGAGCCAAUCUGUUCAAUUCGGCCUCACCGUCAUUGUCAUAAGCCAGCAGUGGCGCCGCUACAUGCUUAUAAGCGCGCGCCACGUGCUGUUCUGACUUCUUUCAUCGUACGACGUUCAUCAUCAUACCUCGUUAGUCUGUUGGAUCCUCGCUUUAGCUCAUUCGGCCCUUCAUCACCCAAAUUGCUAGGUAUUAUGUUUCCAGUCAUUGAUUCAUUGUAUGUAUCACACCAGAGUGCUAGUAAACUGUCUAUGUGUUAUCCCAAUGCCGUAUUCCUGAAUCUUAUUUUGAGUUCGCCCCUUUCCCUUGGUCUAUCUUGCCUCACAGUGCGCGGGCAACGCUUCCAUCCUUGCCCAAAAUAUGGCGGACGCGCGCUGCCAGAGCGUACUUGGCUCGCCUUAAACUAGAUGGCGCUGACUUAUGAAAACCCUCUGCCGGUAUGAAAGCUGCCGGUUUGGGGAAUGAAAAGGAAAAUGAGAUGACCUUGUUCGACAUAUAAUAAAUGGAAAAGAGUGGAGAGGAGGUUGUAUGAUAAUGAGGACUCACCACAUUUAAAAGUGAAAGUUUCUUCCUGCCAUCUCACCUCAAAGAUGUCCGACCAUAGUGCUCCAGAGUCACCUCCUCCUAGAUAUGACUGCGGGAUCAAGUGAUUGGACUUCUAAUACACAGGUACCACCGCCGGUCCCAGAACGUGAGUAAAAGUUAUAGGACUCGAUAUGGUUGAAGAUAUUAAAUGUACCCUUUUCAGACUAUCCGAUGCCGCCUCCGCCAUG